UCAAGCGAACAAGGGCGCAGGGCGAAUGCCUUGGCACUGGGAGCCGAUGAAAGACGUGAUAAGCUGCGAUAAGCUUCGGGGAGCUGCAAAUAAGCAUUGAUCCGGAGAUUUCUGAAUGAGGAAACUCACUUAGGUUCAUACCUGAGUACGUUGUACUGAAAUUCAAAAUAGGUACAUCGGGGGAACCGCCUGAACUGAAACAUCUAAGUAGGGCGAGGAAGAGACAUCAAACGAGAUUCCGUAAGUAGUGGCGAGCGAACGCGGAAGAGGGCAAACCGAGAGUAGAAAUACUUUCGGGGUACGGACUGCUUUUAAGACUCAAUCUGUUAACCGAACGGCAUGGGAAGGCCGGUCAGAGAGUGUGAGAACCACGUAGGUGAAAACGGAGAGAGCUGCGCAGGAUCCAGAGUACGGCCAGACACGUGAAACCUGGUCGGAAUACGGGGGGACCACCCUCCAACCCUAAAUACUACCCAGUGACCGAUAGCGUAUAGUACUGUGAAGGAAAGGUGAAAAGCACCCCGGGAGGGGAGUGAAAAAGAACCUGAAACCCUGUGCCUACAAGCACCUAGAGCACGUCAAUGUGUGAUAGGGUACUUUUUGUAGAACGGUCCGGCGAGCGAUUGUAUGCAGCAAGGUUAAGGACUUAAGGUCUGGAGCCGAAGCGAAAGCGAGUUUGAAAAGGGCGUUAAGUUGCAUAUAAUGGGCCCGAAACCGGGUGACCUACCCAUGGUCAGGUUGAAGUGGAAGUAAAAUUCCAUGGAGGACCGAACCGACCUCCGUUGAAAAGGCGGCGGAUGAACUGUGGGUAGCGGAGAAAUUCCAAUCGAACCCGGAGAUAGCUGGUUCUCCCCGAAAUAGUUUUAGGACUAGCCUCAAGUUAGAUACCUGGAGGUAAAGCACUGAAUAGCCUAGCGGCCGAGAGGUUAGCGAAGCUUAUCAAACUCAGAAUGCCAGAGUAUUGAUGCUUGGGAGUCAGACAGUGUCAGAUAAAUGUCAUUGUCAAAAGGGAAACAGCCCAGAUCUACAGCUAAGGUCCCAAAGUCAGGUUAAGUGGAAAACGAUGUGAAGAUACGCAGACAACCAGGAUGUUGGCUCAGAAGCAGCCACUCAUUCAAAGAGUGCGUAAUAGCUCACUGGUCGAGCGUCUUUGCGCGGAGAAUUUAACGGGGCUAAACCUGACACCGAAGCUUAGGCAAUACAGCAAUGUAUUGGGUAGGGGAGCGUUGUAUACGCGGAGAAACAGUAGCGUAAGCGGCUGUGGAGUGUAUAGAAGUGAGAAUGCCGGAAUGAGUAGCGCGAAUGCAGUGAGAAUCUGCAUGGCCGAAAGCCUCAGGUUUCUGGAGGAAGGUUCGUCCGCUCCAGGUUAGUCGGGAGCUAAGGUGAGGCCGAAAGGCGUAGCCGAUGCACAGACGGUAGAGAUUCCGUCACCACCAAAAGAGUUAAGCACAGGGACACAUUUGAAGUCUCAGAGCCGGGUGUUGGUUCCGGUAGAGAUCGAGGGAAAUUAGUACCGAAGUCUGAGAUGGAAGAUGGCGAGAAAAGCUGUGUGUAUUUCUGAGGUGCCCGUACCGCAAACCGACACAGGUAGGUAGGAAGAAGAUUCUAAGGCCAACGGGAGAAGGGUUGUUAAGGAACUCGGCAAAUUGACCCCGUAACUUCGGGAGAAGGGGUGCUCCAGAGAUGGAGCCGCAGAGAAUCGGCCCAAGCAACUGUUUACCAAAAACACAGGUUUGUGCUAAAUCGAAAGAUGACGUAUACGAGCUGACGCCUGCCCGGUGCUGGAAGGUUAAGAGGAGAUGUGCAAGCAUUGAAUCGAAGCCCCAGUGAACGGCGGCCGUAACUAUAACGGUCCUAAGGUAGCGAAAUUCCUUGUCAGGUAAG
rnacentral:rRNA from 1 species